GACGAACGCUGGCGGCGUGCUUAACACAUGCAAGUCGAACGCAGUGGCGAACGGGUGAGUAAUACGUGGGUAACCUGCCCUCCUUUUUGGGAUAAGCCUUGGCAACGGGGUCUAAUACCGAAUCAAGGGGGAUGGGCUCGCGGCCUAUCAGCUUGUUGGUGGGGUGAUGGCCUACCAAGGCGGUGACAGGUAGCCGGCCUGAGAGGGUGACCGGCAACAUGGGGACUGAGAUACGGCCCAGAGUGCGACGGGAGGCAGCAGUGGGGGAGAUUGCACAAUGGGCGAAAGGCUGAUGCAGCGACGCCGCGUGGGGGAUGAAGGCUGUCGGGUUGUAAAACUCGUUCGCUAUAGAACGGGUAGGUGGAGAAGAAGCGCCGGCUAACUACGUGCCAGCCGCCGCGGUAAUUC
rnacentral:rRNA from 1 species